rnacentral:rRNA from 1 species
GACGAACGCUGGCGGCGUGCUUAACACAUGCAAGUCGAACGAAGAGCGAUGGAAGCUUGCUUCUAUCAAUCUUAGUGGCGAACGGGUGAGUAAUGCGUAAUCAACCUGCCCUUCAGAGGGGGACAACAGUUGGAAACGACUGCUAAUACCGCAUACGAUCUAAUCUCGGCAUCGAGGAUAGAUGAAAGGUGGCCUCUACAUGUAAGCUAUCACUGAAGGAGGGGAUUGCGUCUGAUUAGCUAGUUGGAGGGGUAACGGCCCACCAAGGCGAUGAUCAGUAGCCGGUCUGAGAGGAUGAACGGCCACAUUGGGACUGAGACACGGCCCAGACUCCUACGGGAGGCAGCAGUGGGGAAUCUUCCGCAAUGGCCGAAAGUCUGACGGAGCAACGCCGCGUGAGUGAUGACGGCCUUCGGGUUGUAAAGCUCUGUUAAUCGGGACGAAAGGCCUUCUUGCGAAUAGUGAGAAGGAUUGACGGUACCGGAAUAGAAAGCCACGGCUAACUACGUG